rnacentral:rRNA from 1 species
AGAGUUGAUCCUGGCUCAGAACGAACGCUGGCGGCGCGUCUUAAGCAUGCAAGUCGGGCGGCAAGGAUGUGCUUGCACAUCCCUAGAGCGGCGGACUGGUGAGUAACGCGUGGGUGACGCACCCCCCGGACGGGGAUAGCCUGUGGAAACACAGGGUAAUACCGGAUACGGUUCCGUGAGCUGGAGUCACGGAAGGAAAGGAGCUUCGGCUCCGCCGGGGGAGCGGCCUGCGGCCCAUCAGCUGGUUGGCGGGGUAAAGGCCCACCAAGGCGACGACGGGUACCCGGCCUGAGAGGGCGACCGGGCACAUUGGGACUGAGAUACGGCCCAGACUCCUACGGGAGGCAGCAGCUAAAAAUAUUCCGCAAUGCGCGAAAGCGUGACGGAGCGACGCCGCGUGGACGAUGAAGGCCGGAAGGUUGCAGAGUCCUUUGGCACGCGAGGAAGGAGCGGGGGAGGAAAUGAUCCCGCGGUGACUGUAGCGUGAGAACAAGCACCGGCUAAUUACGUGCCAGCCGCCGC